GCGAGGGUAGCCAAGUGGUCAACGGCGGUGGACUCAAGAUCCACUCACGCAGGUGUUCGCGGGUUCGACUCCCUCCCCUCGCA
rnacentral:tRNA from 2 species